UAUCACCGUAGUGCGGCCCUGCGGAGGCUCGGCAGGCGCCAUUCUGACGGCUGGGCCAGGGCAACACCUCACGGCCACCGUUUUACUUCCCCCCCCAUGGGUGCCUUUCCCUCGCCGCGGGGCCUCUCGGCUGCCACGGCCCUGCUCGGGCAGAGCAGGAGCACAGCAGCCAUUUUGCUGCCUGAGGCAGGACACAUCGCUGCAGGCCUCCGGGCCCUGUCUCAGAAGAGCAGCACCUCACAGUGACCAAUUUACUUUUUCCGACCUCUGCCUUUGGCACUAUGACCAGGCCUCGAGGAGGCCAGCCAUGAAAGGGUGAAGUCCAGUGUCAACAUAACUGAUGGAGAGAAGAUUUUCACUGUGGCUUCCUGAAAAGAUGGUGAAUGGGUACCUCAGGCUGUGCCCCUGUGAAAAUACAUGCCCUCAAGGGGAACAACAAAGCCUGCUGUAAAGGAAGGCAAUGCAGAAUUGCAACACA